AACGCUAGCGGCAGGCUUAACACAUGCAAGUCGAGGGGUAACAGGAGGUGCUUGCACUUCGCUGACGACCGGCGCACGGGUGCGUAACGCGUAUACAAUCUACCUUUUGCUGAGGGAUAGCCCAGAGAAAUUUGGAUUAAUACCUCAUGGUAUGUAGUAAUGGCAUCAUUAUUAUAUUAAAGGUUACGGCAAAAGAUGAGUAUGCGUUCUAUUAGCUAGAUGGUAAGGUAACGGCUUACCAUGGCGACGAUAGAUAGGGGCCCUGAGAGGGGGAUCCCCCACACUGGUACUGAGACACGGACCAGACUCCUACGGGAGGCAGCAGUGAGGAAUAUUGGACAAUGGGCGCAAGCCUGAUCCAGCCAUGCCGCGUGCAGGAAGACUGCCCUAUGGGUUGUAAACUGCUUUUAUACAGGAAGAAACACUCCCUCGUGAGGGAGCUUGACGGUACUGUAAGAAUAAGGAUCGGCUAACUCCGUGCCAGCAGCCGCGGUAAUACGGAGGAUCCAAGCGUUAUCCGGAAUCAUUGGGUUUAAAGGGUCCGUAGGUGGAUAAUUAAGUCAGAGGUGAAAUCCUGCAGCUCAACUGUAGAAUUGCCUUUGAUACUGGUUAUCUUGAAUUAUUAUGAAGUAGUUAGAAUAUGUAGUGUAGCGGUGAAAUGCAUAGAUAUUACAUAGAAUACCAAUUGCGAAGGCAGAUUACUAAUAAUAUAUUGACACUGAUGGACGAAAGCGUGGGGAGCGAACAGGAUUAGAUACCCUGGUAGUCCACGCCGUAACGAUGGUCACUAGCUGUUUGGACUUCGGUCUGAGUGGCUAAGCGAAAGUGAUAAGUGACCCACCUG
rnacentral:rRNA from 1 species